UCUCUAUUCUCGUUCUCAACUCUGAACUUGCCCUCUCUCUAUCCCUUUGCAACUGCAAACUACAAAAUCUACAAGAAUCAGAAGUUCAAAACCCAUAUAUUUCACUUUAUCUAUCUGUCUGCAAGAAUCAAAAUUUCAAAACCUAUUACCUUAUCAAAACCCAUAUCUUUCAGAUUGUUCAAAAAAUCAAAACCCAUAUCUUUCAGUUUCCAUCGCCCGCUGUUACAGUUCGGGUUCGCCGUUUGCAAGCUUCAGCUGCUGGCCCGCUGUCUCUCAACUCUCAAGCUUGCCCCCCUCUCUCUGCAACUGCUAACUUAGUGUUAGAUUAAAAAUUAGAGGUGCGAAGACUCGAAGCAGGACCCCAAAAAUAACGGAAAGCAGCCCAACCGGUAGACUACAAAUAUGUUCGCUUUCAUAUAACUUUGUUCGCAAUCUAUAAAUGGUCUGGAGAUUUGGGCUGUUGGGAGCUUCCUGAGUAUUUUUACACACAGUCAACGCAGACAUCUGCGGUAAUUGCUGUUUACAGUGAAAACAAUACGACAUCAUCUAUACUGUUUAGGAAACAAUGACGACGUAUUUUUUUUCCUGCGCACGUACAUGAAGCCCUAAUAAUAUCACUACCACUAACAAUUCUCUCUCCAUCCUUUGUCUGUGCCUUUUAGGGUUCUACUAACGACGACAUGGGGGCUGAGGUUCCAGGUUUGAGGUAUGUGCUAUCAUUUAUAGAAGAGAAUCAUUAGAAUUGCUUAAUUUGUAGUAGUAGAUCAAUAUCUUUUUAUUACUGUUGUAUCGAGAGGGAGCAACCUUGGGUCUUUUGCUACGGGACAGGUUGGGCAUGACAGAACUAAAGAUGGAAAGUGGAGAUAGUUCAUUCUGAUGCAAUGUUGAUAUGCAAUCCGGAGGAUUUCGACAAGAAGAAGAAGAAGAAGUUAAAAGAUGAACUUGGUGUUGAGUUGUCGGAUGAGGGUAGUUUUACCAGGGAAACUUUACGGGGACGACAAAAGAGAUGGUAAGAACACCCAAGAGUCUGUCAAUGAUGUGGCGGAGAAGUAUGUCAAAUUGGUGAAGAAAAUGGAUGCUUUAAUGUCUGACAAUGGUGAAAAAAUCUGUUGUAUGUGUUCUAGUCGAAUGUCUUUAACAGUGGUAGAGAUAGUAGUUAAACGGAACUUAAUUUAGUACCAGACAAUGCUCUACAAUGUCUGACAAUUUUCAUUUGUCAUGUAAAACUGUCAGACCUAUGAAACUGUUAAUUGUGCAUGUUCUAAUUUUGUCGUUUGUUUGCAUGAAAUCUUUGUUAUUUUCAUAUUGUGUUAUAUAUAUAUAUAUCACAUGAUAGCAUAAAAAAGUUUUGAGAAUUCUGUUAGAUCGAUCUAAAAUAUCUAUUCGAGUAUACUGCAACCAACAAAUUAAUUUGUAUGCUCUCCCAUCCAUUAAUUCUUCUAGUAGAUUUUAUUUGUAUUUGUGGUUGUCUCACCCUGUAUUAGUAUGGGGAUUCAGUAGAUUUUAUUUGUAUUUGUGGUUGUCUCACCCUGUGUUAGUAACUUCACUAUUUCACUAUGGGGAUUCAGGUUACUAUAAAUUAUUGUUAUACAAGUUGCAGCUCUUUCUUAUCUCACUCUCUCUAAUCAUUUUAAUUGUCUUUUUGGUUUUCUCACUCUGUUUUAGUAAUUUCACUCUUGGGAUUAUGAAAAACUCAGGUUACUGUAAAUUAUUGUUGUAGAAUAAUACUCCAUAAUAAUAAUAAAAAAUCAUUUUCACAAUAGUGGAUUGUAACGCACAAAUAAAAUUGUCUUUCUUCAUAAAUUGAAAAAAUAGAUUGCAUUAGGUGAAUGGCCAUUAUCAUAUGAGUAAUGAUACAAAAAUCUAUAAAUUCUCUCCUAUUAAGUAUUUAUCUAAAUAAUUGACGCAUCAGUUUUUUUUUUUUUUUUUUUUUUUUGCGCCAUAGACAAUUACAUCAUUUUCUUUGUCAUAUAAUCAUAUUGUACAAUCAAUUAUAACAUUGAUUCAACUAGACAUAUUAUAGUUUAUUUAUUAAUUUAUAGCAAUCUAGACUUGUUGUAGUUCAACAUUUUGAAGAUUACAUUAAUUUCCAAAAAAAGAAAAAAAAUAAUGAUGUCAAUUGGGGUGCCCAUAACCCUACAGAAAAACCUGUAAAUGGGACACACAAAAACUUAUUUAGAAGGCUAUUGAAUAAAAUAAACCAUUCGUAUAUUAUUUUUAGUACUCCAUAUUAAAUUAAUUUGUUUACUUUUGAAAGUUCACAUAUAGUUUUAUAGUAUUACCACUGCAAUGUAUGAAUGCAUUAUUAUUUUAUGUUUAUUCUCAUUCACCCUGUAUAUAUAAAAGAAGUGACAAUGACCGUUCGAUCAAGAUCAGACGAUUCAUGUUGUAGACUUGUAAGCCUCAUGUCAUAACACGACAAAUGUUAGGGCAUGGAACGAAUCUGAUGUGGCACAACUUUUGAUGUAAACACGAAAUUGGUCCCUUGAUAAAUAUAUCAUUGUAUAGUUGAGAGUGACAUGAUUGGCCAAAUUAAGAAUUGGAGGGUUCAGGUUCAUUGCAUGCCCAUACCGUGGUCACGUGCCGUAAAGCUUCGAAAAUGGUGGUGUGUAUAGUACUUUUUCGGUGAUCAAAGAAACAUUACAGUUGCAACCAAUUUCCUGUAUUUACAGAAAUGACAACACAAAAAAUCACUGCUUCCGUUUUUCACUGAAAUUACGGCGCAAAGAAAAAAAGAAAAAGGAAAAGAAAAAUCUCUCUCACCAUCCUUUCUCUGUGCCUUCUAUGGCGCACUACCGACGACAAGAUGGGAUAUGGUGAUGGUGCUGCAUUUUUCGAUUGAUGGUUAAGGGGGCUGAGGUUGUGGUAUGUGCUAUCAUUUUGAAAAGAGAAUUAGUAUAAGCCCUGAAAAGAGGAAGCAGUCUUCUAUGUCUUCCCUUGGGUCUUUGCUAGGGCAAGGCGGAACUGAAGAUGAAAGUGAAGAUACUUGGAAGUAAUGCAAUGUUUGCAGGAUGAGCAACACUACUCUUCAAUCUGGAGGAUUUGAAUAAGAAGUUAGAAGAUGAAGUUGGUGUGAAGUUGUCCGGUGAGGGUUUUUAUCAAGGAACUUUACAGGGACGACAAAAGAGAUGGUAAGAGCACCUAUUUCAAAAUGGUGUAGAAAAUGGAUGCUUUCAACGUCGGACAAUGGUGAAAAAAAGCAGUUCAGGAUGAGUUGAUGACAGGUGAAUCUGUUUAUAGACUGAAUGUUGUAAUAUAAUGUCUAACAAUGGUAGGGAUAGUACUUAAAGGGAGCUUUAGUGUCAGACAAUGCUCUUUAAUGUGUGACAAUGUAUGAAAACGUUAAUAGUGAAUAUAGUUGCUUCCCAUUCACAGAAUUGAGCAUUUUCUGGAA